UCCUUGGUGGUCCAGUGGUUAAGACUCUGCACUUCCACUGCAGGGGGCAUGGGUUCGAUCCCUAGUUGGAGAG
rnacentral:tRNA from 1 species